GACGAACGCUGGCGGCGUGCUUAACACAUGCAAGUCGAACGGAAAGGCCCUGCUUUUGUUGGGUGCUCGAUUGGCGAACGGGUGAGUAACACGUGAGGAACCUGCCCUUGACUUUGGGAUAACUUCAGGAAACUGGGGCUAAUACCGGAUAGGAGCUCCUGCUGCAUGGUGGGGGUUGGAAAGUUUCGGCUGUUGGGGAUGGACUCGCGGGUUAUCAGCUUGUUGGUGGGGUAGUGGCUUACCAAGGCUUUGACGGGUAGCCGGCCUGAGAGGGUGGACGGCGACAUUGGGACUGAGAUACGGACCAGAAGGCAACGGGCGGCAGCAGGCGGGAAUAUUGCGCAAUGGGCGGAAGCCUGAGGCAACAACGCCGCGUGCGGGAUGACGGGCUUCGGGUUGUAAACAGCUUUGGACUGUGACGAACCGUGAGUGACGGUAAUGGGUAAAGAAGCACCGGCUAACUACGUG
rnacentral:rRNA from 1 species